CCGACGGAAGCCCGGCAGUGGCUACCCCCGGAAGCUGAUCAGGUUAAGGUGAAUGUGGAUGGCGCAGUGGCAAGACACAGACGGGGUGGGGCUGUUGCGGCAAUCUGCCAUGAUGCAGAGGGUCUAUACUUGGGAUCCUCGGCGGUAGCUUAUCAUGGGAUAAUUGACCCAGUGAUUUUGGAAACAUAUGCUUGCAGAGAAGCUCUAUCUCUUGCAGGUGAUCUUGUGAUUCAGAAGUUUGUUGUGGCCUCGGACUGUCUGGGGGUCGUGAAGGACAUCUCUAGUGGGACAGGUGACCCUCAUGGAGCUAUAGUACAUGAAAUCAUGCAGCGUUUACUAGUUUACUAA
rnacentral:rRNA from 1 species